rnacentral:rRNA from 1 species
GACGAACGCUGGCGGCGUGCUUAACACAUGCCAGUCGAACGGAAAGGCCCUGCUUUUGUGGGGUGCUCGAGUGGCGAACGGGUGAGUAACACGUGAGUAACCUGCCCUUGACUUUGGGAUAACUUCCGGAAACUGGGGCUAAUACCGGAUAGGAGCUCCUGCUGCAUGGUGGGGGUUGGAAAGUUUCGGCGGUUGGGGAUGGACUCGCGGCUUAUCAGCUUGUUGGUGGGUAGUGGCCUACCAAGGCUUUGACGGGUAGCCGGCCCGAGAGGGUGACCGGCCACAUUGGGACUGAGGUACGGCCCAGACUCCUACGGGAGGCAGCAGUGGGGAAUAUUGCACAAUGGGCGGAAGCCUGAUGCAGCAACGCCGCGUGCGGGAUGCCGGCCUUCGGGUUGUAAACCGCUUUCGCCUGUGACGAAGCGUGAGUGACGGUAAUGGGUAAAGAAGCACCGGCUAACUACGUG